GCGCAAGUGCCGUCCUAGCCCCGCCGCGUUUUUACGCAUCUGCAUCUUCCCGCGGAGCAGGUCCCAGAACUUUCUCGGUCAGGCAGGCUGGAAGGAGCACACCUGGGGUGAGGGCGCGGAGGAUCUGUGGAACCUGUGCGAGCGUUGGGCUGGCGUGGGGGCGGUGGGUGUCACCCGGAAGCCACUGGCUGGAAGUCCGGAGCCUGAGGGGCGCUCCAGGGCACGCGCUCCCCGUGGGCGGGUCUGGCCGAGCCCCGUGUGCAGUCGGUGCGCGGUGCGGGCCGAGGUGUGCGGGACCGUGUGCCGGGCACGGCCUGCAUCCCGACCCGGGCAGACCUCUGCGGGCGGCGGGAAGGGAAAGCGCGUUCCCGACGUUGACAGCGAAUGUGCUGGCAAGCGCGGGAGUGGUGGGGGGGGGGGGGGUCUGCGGUGGAGCCCGAGUUUGCGAGCCGCCAAGACCAGGGAGAUUCCAGGUCUGUCACCUGUAACCGGGGCGAGAGAAGUAACCUCGGAAAGAGGCAGGUCUUCUGGAAAUGACGAUAGUAGUGAGGGUAACGUCCGCUUGUGGGCGUGUCUCGGAGAGUUAGGUAAGAGCUCACCUGUGAAGGGUUACCCUACUGCCAGGUGCAGGUAGCGGCACACGCGUUACCCCGGUGUGGAAUCCGAGUCUCUCAGAUGGGUGAGAUCGUACAGUCUGCGGGGGCCAGCCAGGUGUCCACGGCGCUGUCCCUUUUGCUUCGCUUUCUGGCUUCGCUCACGUAAAGGGUAAAGUAGUCUUACGAAGACUCUGGAUAAAAAUGGAGCCUGCGUCUUUUUUCUGUGCUAAUUUUAAUGAAAGAGCAGUGCUUGAUCCUUUCGUAUACUCUGGUCAUUAGCUGAUUGUUUUUUUAACUUGAUAGAAAAAAGUUUAGAAACCUGCAGGCUUAUGCCCCCACGAUCACUUAAGGGACUCGUACGGACAGUCGUUGGCUCUGCACAGUCAUUCCCCUCCCUUUUCCAGGGUCCAACCGACCUAUUCCUGGAGGGAGCCUCCUCUCCUUCUGGGGUGCUGAGACUUUGUGGAAGUGAAUUUAGAAGCCGCCGGGCAGGCCAGACCCUUCACUGUCUCCCGAGAGGUGCAGAAAAUGAACACAUCUCAGGUGAGCCUUCGGUUCGUUCCUCACUUUGUAUUACGGUGGAUUUAAGAAGCUUAUAAAGAGACCAUACAUUCAGAAAAGUAGAAAAAGGUUUAGAUCAAGUUAAACUUUACUUUUUAACACUGGUUUACACUGUUUACCAUUAAUUCUGAUUUUUCUAAAUUUAUUUAUUUUGAGAGAGAGCAAGCGAGGGAGGGGCAGAGAGAGGGGGAAGAGAGAGAAUCCCAAGCAGGCUCCGCACUGUCAGCAUAGAGCCGGAUGUGGGCCUCCAACUCACCAACCGGGAGAUCAUGACCUGAGCGGAAACCGUGUCGGACACAACGGACUGAGCCACCUAGACGCUCCUCCUUCC
rnacentral:lncRNA from 1 species